rnacentral:rRNA from 1 species
UACAGAGGUCCCAAGCGUUGUUCGGAUUCACUGGGCGUAAAGGGUGCGUAGGCGGUCGGGUAAGUCUGACGUGAAAUCUCCAAGCUCAACUUGGAAAUGGCGUCGGAUACUAUUCGGCUCGAGGAAUGGAGGGGAGACUGGAAUUCUCGGUGUAGCAGUGAAAUGCGUAGAUAUCGAGAGGAACACCAGUGGCGAAGGCGAGUCUCCGGACAUUUCCUGACGCUGAGGCACGAAAGCCAGGGGAGCAAACGGG